rnacentral:rRNA from 1 species
AUUGAACGCUGGCGGCGUGCUUAACACAUGCAAGUCGAUCGGUAACGCGGGGGCAACCCUGGCGACGAGAGGCGGACGGGUGCGGAACGGUUGGGAAUCUGCCUAUCAGCGGGGGACAAUACGGGGAAACUCGUGCUAAUACCGCAUACGCUCUACGGAGGAAAGCCGGGGACCGCAAGGCCUGGCCCUGAUAGAUGAGCCAAAGCCGGAUUAGCUAGUUGGCGGGGUAACGGCCCACAAAGGCGACGAUCCGUAGCUGGUCUGAGAGGACGAUCAGCCACACUGGGACUGAGACACGGCCCAGACUCCUACGGGAGGCAGCAGUGGGGAAUAUUGGACAAUGGGGGAAGCCCUGUUCCAGCGACGCCGCGUGGUGAAGAAGGCCUGCGGGUUGUAAAGCCCUUUCGGUAGGGACGAAAGCUCUCGACCUAACACGUCGGGAGGUUGACUUAACCUACAAAAGAAGCACCGGCUAACUCUGUGCCAGCAGCCGCCGUAAGAC